rnacentral:lncRNA from 1 species
CUACCCCAAGAACAUACACAUACAAAUUUUCCAUUAACCAUCACAUGUAUCAAAAAUUUGGCCCCAAAUUUCACUUCACACUUAUGGACUUAUCUAAAACAAGCAUACAAUGAUCUUUCAUCAACAAGAAACAUUCACUCAUCACCACUAUCAUUACAUAAGGAGUCACCAAAAUGUUAGAACAUAAAACCUUGAAGCAUGGAAGGAUAUUAUAUGAGACUUGACACUUAACUGAGGCCUGAGGAAUAACAAAUCAACAUCAGGGAUUUGUCAAAGUAAAUCUGAAUUGAGGGC